AACGAGACUCUAACCUACUAAAUAGAUGGUUGAUCUAUUGUGAACCAGACUUCUUAGAGGGACAAGCAGCAAUUAGCUGCAUGAGAAAGAGCAAUAACAGGUCUGUGAUGCCCUUAGAUGUCCGGGGCUGCACGCGCGCUACACUGAAGGAAUCAACAUGCCUCUACCUAGCUCGAAAGAGUCAGGUAACCCGUUGAAACUCCUUCGUGAUUGGGAUAGGGACUUGCAAUUAUGGUCCUUGAACGAGGAAUUCCCAGUAAGUGUGGGUCAUCAGCUCGCGCUGAUUACGUCCCUG
rnacentral:rRNA from 1 species